ACGACACGACGUAUCAGACAACGAAACUCACUCGCCAUUGGACGAUGGAAACCGUACUCCCAUUUCCCAAACGAAACACAACCAAAACAGAGGGCCAGAAAACCUGAAGAUUCCCGCUUGGAAGCCAGUGUCUCAUCUGCAUGAUCUUUCGUACCUUUACACGUGAACUACACCGGACGGUCCCCAUCCGGCACUACCAUUAGGUGCCCCCCCAAAACCUGGCGCCCCGGACCCCUCUUUUAGACCCUAAUUUGAUCAGGAAAUCUUUCCGAAGAGAUCCGACCCCAAGUUAGCGUGGGGCUUUGUGCAAGGGGAAGUGGUCCGCGAGCGAAAGAAGUAUCAGAAAAAUAUCCGCGCUCUCGCUGGGGAUACUCUUUUCUCCUUUGGAAAACGACAACCAAUUUUUAUUUCCGGGGAAAAUUACACGCCAUCCUUUGCCGAAGGUAGUUCGGUCGGGCUGGUUAGGAAGAACGCCCUUCAGAUGCAAUCAAUUUACCCUGAUCUACCACCACAUCCAAGGAGGAAAUUGCUUACAAUCUAUACUGUUGACAAAACAAUGUUUCCAAACAGAGGGA